GACGAACGCUGGCGGCGUGCUUAACACAUGCAAGUCGAACGGAAAGGCCCCUUUGGGGGUUCUCGAGUGGCGCACGGGUGAGUAACACGUGAGUAACCUGCCCUUGACUUCGGGAUAACUUCAGGAAACUGGGGCUAAUACCGGAAAGGAAUCUUUGCGGCAUGGUGGGGGUUGGAAAGCUUCGGCGGUUUUGGAUGGACUCGCGGCUUAUCAGCUUGUUGGUGGGGUAGGGGCUUACCAAGGCUUUGACGGGUAGCCGGCCUGAGAGGGCGACCGGCCACAUUGGGACUGAGAUACGGCCCAGACGCCUACGGGAGGCAGAAGUGGGGAAUAUUGAACAAUGGGUGGAAGCCUGAUGCAGCAACGCCGCGUGCGGGAUGACGGCCUUCGGGUUGUAAACCGCUUUCAGCAGGGGCGAAGCUUGUGGUGACGGUACCUGCAGAAGAAGCACCGGCUAACUACGUG
rnacentral:rRNA from 1 species